CCUACGGGAGGCAGCAGUGGGGGAUAUUGCACAAUGGGGGGAACCCUGAUGCAGCGACGCCGCGUGGGUGAAGGAGUAUUUCGGUAUGUAAAGCCCUAUCGGCAGGGAAGAAAUUGGACGGUACCUGACUAAGAAGCCCCGGCUAACUACGUGCCAGCAGCCGCGGUAAUACGUAGGGGGCAAGCGUUAUCCGGAUUCACUGGGUGUAAAGGGAGCGUAGACGGCCAGGCAAGCCUGGAGUGAAAGCCCGGGGCCCAACCCCGGGACUGCUCUGGGAACUGUCCGGCUGGAGUGCGGGAGGGGCAGGCGGAAUUCCUGGUGUAGCGGUGAAAUGCGUAGAUAUCAGGAGGAACACCGGCGGCGAAGGCGGCCUGCUGGACCGCGACUGACGUUGAGGCUCGAAAGCGUGGGGAGCGAACAGGAUUAGAUACCCCAGUAG
rnacentral:rRNA from 1 species